rnacentral:misc_RNA from 1 species
UGCAAUGACACUUCCUUAAGGAAAUGUUCGGAUGAUUCAAGAAGACUUUUCAUUUUUCUAUACGUCACUGCCCAAUCAAACUCAUCUUCUUCUUUCAAUAUCUUUCGUGGCAGCAAAUUAGACCAAGCUGAAUCGUCAGUUGGUAUCAAAUGGUAGCGUGCAAACAUUUCUUUCUUCCAUGUUUCAUUAUUCGACGAUAACAGUUCAUAACGGAAUGUAUG